UACGUAGGGUGCGAGCGUUGUCCGGAAUUACUGGGCGUAAAGGGCUUGUAGGUGGUUUGUCGCGUUGUUCGUGAAAACUCACAGCUUAACUGUGGGCGUGCGGGCGAUACGGGCAGACUGGAGUACUGCAGGGGAGACUGGAAUUCCUGGUGUAGCGGUGAAAUGCGCAGAUAUCAGGAGGAACACCAGCGGCGAAGGCGGCGCUCUGGGCCGGUACUGACGCUGAGGAGCGAAAGCGUGGGUAGCAAACAGG
rnacentral:rRNA from 1 species